rnacentral:miRNA from 1 species
UUCCCUGGGUUUAGAAUUUGCAGUAAUAGAUGUGAACAUACUAGCAGCACUUUGAUGAUCAUGUAGGACACUGCAAACAGGACCC